rnacentral:lncRNA from 1 species
GAAAAGAAAGGGAGUUCUGACACACGCUACGUGAAUGAACCUGGAUGGCAUGUGCUCAGGGAAAUAAGCCAGUCACAGGUGGACAAAUAAUGUGUGGUUCCACUUAGGUGAGGUACCUAAAGUAGUCAAAGUCGUAGAAAGUAGAAUGGGUAUUGCCAGGGGCUGGGGAAGCAGAGAGUGGGGAGUUAGAGUUAGAUGGGUACAGAGUUUCAGUUCAGGAAGAUGAAAUCGUUCUGGAGGUGGAUGGUGGUGGUGGCUGCACAACAUUAUGGACGUACACUUAAAAGCGGUGAAAAUGGUAAACUUAAUUUUAUAGAUACUUUACCACAAUGUAAGAAAUAAAAAAUAUAAAAAUGAAAACACAUUGCUCACAGCCCCAAGAAUGACUGAGAUGGAUUUUCCACCAGCUCAGCAGGGGAAGGGCUGAGUUAGACUUGAUUUGAUUUGAAAGGAAGAGAGAAGAGCAGCCUUUCCUGUCUGAGUUUGCACGGUCAGGUUCACACCUGUUACAAACCCAAGGCCCCAGUAGCCAUGCUGGACGCUGCACCCUGAUAUGGUUUGGAUUCGGGUCCCCGCCCACAUCUCCUAUCAAAUUGUAAUCCUCGGUGUUGGGGGAGGGGCCCGAUGGGAGGCGAUUGGAUCACGCGGGCGAACUUCCCCUUUGCUGUUCUCGUGAUAGUGAGUUCUCACCAGAUCUGGUUGUUUAAAAGUGUGGGCUGGGCAUGGUGGCUCAUGUCUGUAAUCCCAGCACUUUGGGAGGCCGAGGCGGGCAGAUCACCUGAGGUCAGGAGUUCAAGACCAGCCUGGCCAACAUAGUGACACCCCGUCUCUACUAAAAUUACAAAAAUUAGCCAGGCGUGUUGGCACGCACCUGUAAUCCCAGCUACUCAGGAGGCUGAGGCACGAGAAUCCCUUGAAUCCAGAAGGCGGAGGUUGCAGUGAACCGAGAUCUCACCACUGUCCUCCAGCCUGGGCGACAGCCAGACUCUGUCUUGGGGGAAGAAAAAAAGCGUGUGGCACGUCCCCCUUCACUCUCUUCCUACUGCCCCAGCCUUGUGGGACGUGCUGGCUCCCCGUUCACCUUCCGCCACAAUUGGAAGUUUCCCGAGCCCUCCCCAGCCAUGCUUGCUGUACGGCCUACAGAACCAUGAGCCAAUUAAACCUCUUUCUUUAUAAAUUACCCAGUCUUGCGUAGUCCUUUACAGCAAGGCGAGAACGGACUCACACACCGUUUUCAGCACUCCCUUGCCCCAUGCCUGAGCCCCUCUCAUCCUUACUCCCCAGGGUUGGGGCUGGGUGGGAGGGAGGCAGGCAGGGAGAGAGGAUAUCUUUUUCAUUCAUUACAUUAGAAUAACUUCUUUUCCAUGCUGAAAGCUUAAUGAUUUGUUUUCUAGGUCACCUCAAAAUGUCCCCAAGCCAUCGCUGGAACUACCCGAUGAAGUCAUUCUUCCUUACAAAGUAGAUUCCGUUGCUAGGGCUGCCAUAACCAAAUGCCGCAGCCUGGGUGGCUUCAACAGAAUUUCAUUUCCCCACAGUCCUGGGAGCUGGAAGCCCAAGGUCCAGGCGCUAUCUUCCAAUUCAGCCAUUCGGAGGUCUUGGCGGUUGAAACUUCAAGACAGGAAUUUGGAGUGAGGACACAGUUCAUUCCAUACACAAAGACAGGAGCGGCUUCAUCCAGAACCCGGAAGGUCUGUCCCUCUACAGAAACCCAGAUCUAAUCGUGUCGCAUCCCACACCAGGAAUUUCCAAACUUUGAUGCCAUUACAGUCUGAGAGAGCAUGACUGACGCAAGUGAGCCGGGAGCACAGGCAGGAGCACAGAGCCCAGCUGCCUCCCGCACCCCCUCCACCCACCCCAUCUACAGCUCAUUGCAUUAGCAGCCGCCUCUCGCCCCUCUACCCACGCCAUCUAGAGCCCACUGCGUCAGCCCAGAGGAUAUGUCAUUUGGCAGCAAAGCCUCAUCACAGAUAGAACCAGCUCCUCAGGCACCCUCAUUCCUGGAGAGGCACUUGACGGGGCAGAGCCUGAAGCAGAGUUUCCAGGAAGACAAGAAGGCCAACUUCCCUAGGAACUGCAGAUGGAGGUCCCGCUCAUGUGUUUCUGCGAAUUAAGAUGGGAUCUCACUAUGUUGCCCAGGCUAGAGUGCAUUGGCUAUUCACAGACGAUCAUGAUGCAAUCAUAGUGCACCACAUCCUCAAACUCCUGGACUCAAGUGAUCCUCCCUCCACAGCCUCCCAAGUAGCUGAGACUGCAGGCACACGCCACUGCACCCAGCCCUGGACUAUUAACUUUUAUAUUUUUUAUAUCCAUAGAGUCAGGCAGCUUCUGAUGCAUAGUAACCAUGUAAUAAAUGUUGAAUGAAUAAAUGUGAAUGACCAUACCCAUACAUAGACAUAUGCAUUCAUAUAAAUCUCAGCUUCUCAUCUCAUUCUCCCAAGCAAUGCUAACAGCCUUGACAGCUUUUGACAAACUGAUUCACAACAAAGCCUUGAUUUUCCCAUCCAUGAAGUGGGGCUAAAAUAUGCCUAAAUCUACGGAUUGCCUUUAGAAUUCAGUCUCCUUCAAAAUUUCAAACUAAGGGUCUCACCCCCAUUAGCGCAUCACGAAG